rnacentral:lncRNA from 1 species
AUGUGGGAACAGUUACUUGCCAAAAGAGAGCUGCUGUGUGUGGGGAAAGGCGGGGAGCCUGGGGCUGUGUUCAUGCACACGCAGCCUGUGCUCUCCUGGGUGGGAGCAGGGUGGUUCCUGCUCCAGCACAGCCAGUUUAAGGAGCAUGCCCAUGGCAUCCUGGGUGGGGGUUCCACACAGGUUCCAAGGUGUCCUGUCCCCAUGGGCUCUGCUCCGUGUUCACACCUAGUGCUGGCAGCACCAGCUCAUGGCUCUCCCCUGGCCACUCUCCCUGAUGGCUGUUGGGCUGUGCCAGUCCCACCUCAGCUCAGGCAGCCCUAGAAGCCCCUCAGCUGUAGCCCCAGGCUGGCUCCUGUAUGUGGGAACCCCUGGGAGCCCUGGGGGUGUCGUGGUGCUGCCAAAGGCAGGUCCUGCCCUCGGCCUCUGCCAGGCUGUGUGGGUAUCUCAGGGCACUGCAUGGUGAUGUGAUCCAUCCACAGCUCCUCCAGUUCCCUUGGCAUCUCUGCCACCAGUGUGGCUUCCCAGAAGGUGUCAGGAACAGAGUGAACACACUGUCCAUGACUGUGUGGUGACACAAGGAACACACUUGUUCCCCCUUCUGCAUCACCCACAUCCUUUGUCCGACCCUCCUGCUGCUGAGAAGGGUCUUGUGACUUGUCUGAAGCAGAAAGUUCCUUAAAUUGAAAAUAGAAUCCAUACCACUGAAGCCAUUCAGUCCUGGAAUAAUACUUAGAGCAGUUUGUUUCUAUAUAUAUUUUUAAUAAGAAUUUAAGGGGUUUAAGCCUUCAGGUUUGGUGGGAUAUUUAAUAGCUAAACCAAUACAUAUCAGCCAGGGAGCUGCAGGGGAGAAAUUUAUUGCAGUGUUAAGGACAAGCAAUGGGUGAAUUUACUUGAUUAAAAUAAAUUUUCAGUAUGAUAACCAGGAUAUUCACCAAAGAGUCAAAUUCCUUUAUUCCGCUCUGCACAUCCAGUGUCAACAUUAAGACUUAAAUUGUAAGUGGCAUGUCCUCUGACAGAAGUCGCCUUCUGGGCAAAGCAAAAUUGUUUCUUGACAGCUGGAACAGAGGACCCAGAGCUGGGCUGUUUAUUUCUGGCUCUCCACUGAGCUGCUAAAUGACCCUGAGCCCUUCCUUGCCCCAGUUUCCCCCUCUGUGACACUCAGCCAGGUGGGCUAAGUGCACCUUUUAUUGUUUCAAGCAAGCAGGUCCUGCCAGAGUUUCUGUUUCACCUCCUUCCUUUGGGAGCCUGAGUUGGGGGACAGCAGAUUGCCUCUAGCAGUAAACCAAAAUAUAAUAUUAAUUUGAGUUCUUUUACUAUAUAUAGAUGGAGGAUGAACAGAAUCGGUUAAACAAGGAAUGAGAUUCUAGUCAGUGAAAUUAUUCAAACAGAAGAGAAAUCUUUAAUCCUUGGGGCAUCUGAGCCAGCUGGAUCAAAGAGGAAAAUGUGUACUUGGAGGUUGUUCAGUGACAGCCAGCACAGUGCUUUCAGUGGAGGGGGAAGGAGGAACCUUUUAGGGAUGGAAGGAGGAGGAAUGUGCUUCUUGUGCCUUUUUUUGUAAUCUGAUAAUUGUCUUUGCAGAGCAAGCAAGAAUGUGCACACAUCUAUUACCCACUCCUUUCCCAAAUAUAGCUGUAUUCCAAUAAAAUCCAGCACUUCACAGGACAAAAAGACUUCCAGUGCCUUCACUGGACACAUUUAAAACUCCCUGAUAUUUACAAGAUAGAAAAAAAAUAAAUCAGCUCAUCUUUUAGCCCCAUAACUCAGGAAUUCAUCCGUUGCUGGUGCCAUUCCAUUUAUGUCAGGGCGUGUGAGUUGUUCCUGCUGCCUGUCCAAAUUCUGCUCUGCCUCUUCCCAGUCCUGCUCCAGGCCUGUGGCAUGGCCAGGGCUCUGCAGAGGCCUUCGGUUAUCUGAUGCUUUGUGUGAUUUGAAAUGUGAACUUUGAAGCAAAAAUCUAAAAGUUGUGGCUCUGUGGGGAGCAAAACUGAAGCUGGUUAAUGCCAGAUGGGAUUGGAAGGAUUUAGAGUCUGCUGGGUGUCAGCAGAACCAGUUGUUGGCCCAGCUGAACCCAGAAGUCUCUUAGCAAUACAGAUAGAUUCCUUAGAAGCAACUCAGAGCUGUGACCAGUUCCCAUGGGCCAGCAGUGCAAUUGGGAAUUUCCAGUUCUCAAAAUCUUACUCCUGGCUGUGUUUCUUUUCCCUUACCACUGUUUUUGAAAUCUAAAGCAAUCAGAUUUUUCUCCUUUUCUCUUUUUCUCAUUGGCUGGGAGUCCUGUUAAUUUUUUUCUGUGCCAUCACCAACAAUCACCCCCAUAAUCCAGUAGCAGCAAAUUUCAGCUCUGGGUAAUGAAUCACAUUGAAGUCGGACAGCAGAACUCCUGCUGAAGGAAGAGCCCAACACUUGGCCCAGGGAUAAGCCAGUUCAGCUGUACAAGAUCUCCUGCCCGCUGCUUUUAUGCCCUGCUUAGGGAUUUAUACUGCAGAGAGCUUUAAAGUUUUUGACAGCCCCCCCAUCAUGUGAUGAGCCAGCUUAUUUUGGAGAUUCCUGUUACUUGAACUGGAAGGUUGAGCAGG